UUUUCUACUUUUACUAUGAAUAUAUAACUCUCAAAAAAUACUUGUUCUUGUUUGGCAUGUUUUAAACUUUUCCAUAAAUGACACAAUAUGGUAUAUCUCCUUCUGCAACCUGCUUGUUUCACUGAAUAUUGUUUUUGUGAAAUUUAUUCACAUUGAUAGAAAUAUUGUAUUUACUUUUGCUGCUGUUUACUCUUUUUAUGAACUUUAGCAGUCCCUGUGCUGGCCAGGAAUCUCGCCUCUCCAGAUCCAGCACACAGGCCUGCCUCCACUGCUGGCUCCCUACAUUAUUGCUGGAGGGUUUCUCUGGCUGCUGGAGCCUGCUCUGCUACCAGGCCAGAGGGCUGGGAUUUAAGAGCCUCCAGAGCAGCCCUCGUCCUUGCCUGGGGGAGAUGGUGGACACGUUCUGCAGCGGCCUUGCUCCUCAGCAGAGUAACUCUGAGGCACCUGCCCUGCACUGUCACCUACAGGUCCUCAGAGGUUAAGCUCCAUUUAAUUGCCCACAAUAGUCACUGGCUUGAUAAUCAUCUCAGACUGGCUUCUGGUUUAGCAAAUGCUAAACCAGAGCUUGAGCACAAAGCAUUUAUUAGAAUUAACACCCUCAAAAGGAAGGCAAAGAAACCAGGAUUGGGCAGAGGGAGAAGUAGAACUGCUAUGCAGGCCUGACAAAGCCCCAGCCAACCAACAGGGAGCUAGGAAUGAGUAGUGGCCUUCAGAGUGUCCCACACUGAUCCAAAACGUCUGCUUCUCUCAGUCCCUCGCUGAGGGCAUGACCUCGGGUGGGGAUGCUCUUGGAAGCUGACGCAGACCCUCUGCUAACCCCAACCCCUGCAGUUGGGUAGUGACACCUUCCCUAAAGGGGACUUUGGGCACCAUGUCCUUAUCUGCCACAAGAACACACUUUGGCUUCUUCAUCGGUCACACAUCUGAUCACCUCCCACAUAAACUACUUGUACUUGUAUCCUUGUCUCAGGGUCUGUUUUGGGGGGGCCUCAAACUAAGACAAUGAAUUUAUGGUGAUGCAUUUAUCCAUUCUUGUGUUAUGCGACACCCAAAUUGUUUCCAAUUCUUUGCUACUGCAAACUGUAUUGCAAUGGAUCUUCUUGCACAAGUCUCCUUAUGUACACGUUGUGGGAGUUGUUUGCUUGUUUCAAAGAGGAGGGAGGAGAGAGAGAAUUUAAGCAGGCUCCACUCUCAGUGCAGAGCCCGAUGAGGGGCUCCACCUCAGGACCCUGAGAUUAUGAUGUGAGCUGAAACCGAGUUGGAUGCUUAAAUGAAUGAGCCACCCAGGUACCCCAUUAUGGUAAAUAUCUAGAGGCAGAGGCCCUAUAAGGAAUGCAUGUCUUUGACUGUACUAGGCGUUGGACGGACAAAGGCCCUGUACUGAGGUCAAGAUUGAGGGUAUGGAUACACUGGGGACACAGCCUCACACUGAAAAGUUUUUGUGCCAGAUGGACUUUAUCACAGACAUACCCUCAGAAUCCUUCCUCUAGAACAGACUUUCUCAAACUUUAAUCUGCACGUAAAUCUUUUCAAGAUCUUGUUAACUUGCAGAGUCUCAUUUGGUAGGUAUGGGUUGGGACUUGAAAUUCUGCAUUUCUAAGCCAUCAGAUAUACUUCUGCUCCUUUAUGGAUCUCCUACUGAGUAGCAGACUCUAGAGAAUGAGUUUGAUUAUGAGGCCAUCAGAAUAUCAAAGUAGCCAUGAUUCUCCAUCACCAUUGCUAACAAAAUAGGGCAAAAAGAGAUGGCCUGAGGGUAAUGGCCUGUGGGCUAAACCAUUAGGUUACUAGAUGGGAUAUUAUGCUUUUAGGGGCCUAGUGACUCAGGACCAGUAGAAUUUUUGGGGUAGUGUCAAUUCCAGGUUACUUCUACUUUUGUCAUGGGGAGCAAGACAGACCAAGUGGACUUAUAGGAAUACAGGUCUGUCUUGUUAACGGAUUUUUCAACUCUUUCUUUGUUGUUCCAAACACAAUGUUUGGCUGUCAAUUUAAGGGUGGUAUAGGGCAGCCUGGGUGGCUCAGCGAUUUAGCAUCUGCCUUUGGCUCAGGUCAUAGUCCCGUGGUCCCAGGAUUGAGUCUCGCGUCAGGCUACCCACAGGGAGCCUGCUUCUCUCUCUGCCUGUGUCUCUGCCUCUGUGUCUCUCAUGAAUAAAAUCUUUAAAAAAAAAAAAAAAGGGUGGUGUAACAUUUGCCUCUGAAGAGUGCCCAAGUCAGGUAGAUCUGUACAUAAGUCCCUAAGGGUGGUGGUGGUGGGAUAGACCUGGUGGGCUGCUUUAAGGAUUCAUAGUCAUGGACCAGCCACAUGGGAAAGUCCUCUGCCCCAUAAGCAGAGAGGGACAUUUAAUAUUAGUUAAAGGACUUCUAUUUCUAUUUCUACUCAAGAUGGAGUAACAAGGAUUGAAUCUAUUGUGCAAAACUACUAAAAAACUGGACAAAAUAUUUGAAAUAAUAGCAACAAAGGAGACGAAGAAGUAAUGAAGUAGACACUACAAUCACCUAGCUCACUGCCUGAUGAAAGUUUUCAGGCUGCAGCAAAUAGAGGGGAACCCAGGCAGAGACCAGGAGAUUCUCCAAGUUGAGUAACAGAGAUGGGGUCCAGGGAAGCCAAAGCAACAGAGGUCACAUGACAAAGUAGCAGAGAGGAGAGAGAACAAUGAAGAUCUGCAAAGGGUGCCCUUGGGUACACAUUUGAGUACUGGCCAGCCCAUGCAUGUGAAGAAUCUUGCUGAGACAAGAGAAAGGGCCACUCAAAAGGAUUUGAGGGAACAGUACUCAGAGGUCAUGUAGAGCCCAAAGUAACUCCUGCUCCCAACAGCCAGAGCGGAAAACAUCACAAAUCAAGAGGCAUUGACGAGAGUACUAAGGAAAUUUUGCCUUGAGAGAAAAA
rnacentral:lncRNA from 1 species